rnacentral:rRNA from 1 species
GAUGAACGCUGGCGGCGUGCUUAACACAUGCAAGUCGAACGGAAAGGCUCCUGCUUGCAGGGGUACUCGAGUGGCGAACGGGUGAGUAACACGUGGGUGAUCUGCCCUGCACUUCGGGAUAAGCCUGGGAAACUGGGUCUAAUACCGGAUAGGACGAUGGUUUGGAUGCCAUUGUGGAAAGUUUUUUCGGUGUGGGAUGAGCUCGCGGCCUAUCAGCUUGUUGGUGGGGUAAUGGCCUGCCAAGGCGUCGACGGGUAGCCGGCCUGAGAGGGUGUACGGCCAAAUUGGGACUGAGAUACGGCCAAGACUCCUACGGGAGGAAGAAGGGGGGAAUAUUGAAAAAUGGGCGAAAGCCUGAUGCAGCGACGCCGCGUGGGGGAUGACGGCCUUCGGGUUGUAAACUCCUUUCGCUAGGGACGAAGCGCAAGUGACGGUACCUGGAGAAGAAGCACCGGCUAACUACGUG